rnacentral:lncRNA from 1 species
AUUCACAUGACUAUUAUUAACAUGACUUAUCCCAUGUCCUCACGAACAAAAGUAACUACUCAGAAGACAUAAUCAUAAUCAUGACCAGAGUUGUACUGAAUAGCAUCAAGGAUCUGAACAUAAACUCUUCCACCAAGUAAUCCAACUAGCAUCAACUACAAAGAGUAAUCAAUACUACUAGCAACCUUACAAGUACCAAUCGGAGUUGCGGGACGAAGGUUGGUUACAAGAGAUGAAGUAGGGAUUGGAGAUAGAUGGUGCCGAUGAAGAUGUUGAUGAAGAUGCCUCCCCUC